GCCAUGCCGCGUGUGUGAAGAAGGCCUUUUGGUUGUAAAGCACUUUAAGCAGUGAAGAAGACCUAACGGUUAAUACCCGUUAGCGAUGACAUUAGCUGCAGAAUAAGCACCGGCUAACUCUGUGCCAGCAGCCGCGGUAAUACAGAGGGUGCAAGCGUUAAUCGGAAUUACUGGGCGUAAAGCGAGCGUAGGUGGCUUGAUAAGUCAGAUGUGAAAUCCCCGGGCUUAACCUGGGAACUGCAUCUGAUACUGUUAGGCUAGAGUAGGUGAGAGGGAGGUAGAAUUUCAGGUGUAGCGGUGAAAUGCGUAGAGAUCUGAAGGAAUACCGAUGGCGAAGGCAGCCUCCUGGCAUCAUACUGACACUGAGGUUCGAAAGCGUGGGUAGCAAACAGGAUUAGAUACCCUGGUAGUCCACGCCGUAAACGAUGUCUACUAGUCGUUGGGGAACUUGAUUCCUUAGUGACGCAGCUAACGCAAUAAGUAGACCGCCUGGGGAGUACGGCCGCAAGGUUAAAACUCAAAUGAAUUGACGGGGGCCCGCACAAGCGGUGGAGCAUGUGGUUUAAUUCGAUGCAACGCGAAGAACCUUACCUGGUCUUGACAUAUCUAGAAUCCUGCAGAGAUGCGGGAGUGCCUUCGGGAAUUAGAAUACAGGUGCUGCAUGGCUGUCGUCAGCUCGUGUCGUGAGAUGUUGGGUUAAGUCCCGCA
rnacentral:rRNA from 1 species